rnacentral:piRNA from 1 species
UAAGAAGUUCAGGUCUGAGAGAUUUCUGUUU